CACCUGAAAUCACGAAUAGUCUCUCUAAGCUAUCCGG
rnacentral:sRNA from 1 species